rnacentral:rRNA from 1 species
CUGGCUCAGGACGAACGCUGGCGGCGCGCCUAACACAUGCAAGUCGAACGAGAGAUGAGGAGCUUGCUCUUCAAAUCGAGUGGCGAACGGGUGAGUAACGCGUGAGGAACCUGCCUCAAAGAGGGGGACAACAGUUGGAAACGACUGCUAAUACCGCAUAAGCCCACGGCUCGGCAUCGAGCAGAGGGAAAAGGAGCAAUCCGCUUUGAGAUGGCCUCGCGUCCGAUUAGCUGGUUGGUGAGGUAACGGCCCACCAAGGCGACGAUCGGUAGCCGGACUGAGAGGUUGAACGGCCACAUUGGGACUGAGACACGGCCCAGACUCCUACGGGAGGCAGCAGUGGGGAAUAUUGCACAAUGGGGGAAACCCUGAUGCAGCGACGCCGCGUGGAGGAAGAAGGUCUUCGGAUUGUAAACUCCUGUUGUUGAGGAAGAUAAUGACGGUACUCAACAAGGAAGUGACGGCUAACUACGUGCCAGCAGCCGCGGUAAAACGUAGGUCACAAGCGUUGUCCGGAAUUACUGGGUGUAAAGGGAGCGCAGGCGGGAGAACAAGUUGGAAGUGAAAUCCAUGGGCUCAACCCAUGAACUGCUUUCAAAACUGUUUUUCUUGAGUAGUGCAGAGGUAGGCGGAAUUCCCGGUGUAGCGAUGGAAUGCGUAGAUAUCGGGAGGAACACCAGUGGCGAAGGCGGCCUACUGGGCACCAACUGACGCUGAGGCUCGAAAGUGUGGGUAGCAAACAGGAUUAGAUACCCUGGUAGUCCACACCGUAAACGAUGAUUACUAGGUGUUGGAGGAUUGACCCCUUCAGUGCCGCAGUUAACAAAGGAAGUAAUCCACCUGGGGAGUACGACCGCAAGGU